rnacentral:lncRNA from 1 species
UAAGGUGGAGUGUCUUGAACCCAUCUUGUUCUCAUGUACUGUAUACUCCUUUAUGUUGGAGUUAGGGUUGAUUAGACCCUGUUUGAAAGCUAGGAUGAUAGAACAUGAUUAUUGCUAGGAUGUUAGAUGAAUGGAACACGAUGCAUAAGAACCCUCAUAUUGUUAAAUGGGACUUAGUAAACUGAAAUGGAGUUGUGUUAGUGAUGGUUGAUUGGUGAUUUAUGCUUGUAUGUUUGGAUGUGU